CAUGGAGCCGACCUUGAAAUACCACCCUUUAAUGUUUGAUGUUCUAACGUGGACCCGUAAUCCGGGUUGCGGACAGUGUCUGGUGGGUAGUUUGACUGGGGCGGUCUCCUCCUAAAGAGUAACGGAGGAGCACGAAGGUUGGCUAAUCCUGGUCGGACAUCAGGAGGUUAGUGCAAUGGCAUAAGCCAGCUUGACUGCGAGCGUGACGGCGCGAGCAGGUGCGAAAGCAGGUCAUAGUGAUCCGGUGGUUCUGAAUGGAAGGGCCAUCGCUCAACGGAUAAAAGGUACUCCGGGGAUAACAGGCUGAUACCGCCCAAGAGUUCAUAUCGACGGCGGUGUUUGGCACCUCGAUGUCGGCUCAUCACAUCCUGGGGCUGAAGUAGGUCCCAAGGGUAUGGCUGUUCGCCAUUUAAAGUGGUACGCGAGCUGGGUUUAGAACGUCGUGAGACAGUUCGGUCCCUAUCUGCCGUGGGCGCUGGAGAACUGAGGGGGGCUGCUCCUAGUACGAGAGGACCGGAGUGGACGCAUCACUGGUGUUCGGGUUGUCAUGCCAAUG
rnacentral:rRNA from 1 species